GGCUGGUCCAAAGGUAGUGAGUUAUCUCAAUUGAUUGUUCACAGUCGGUUACAGAUCGAACUUCUUGUUCUACUCUUUGUCCCUCCUUCUCACUACUGCACUUGACUAGUCUUAA
rnacentral:Y_RNA from 1 species